CCUACGGGGGGCAGCAGUGGGGGAUAUUGGACAAUGGGGGGAACCCUGAUCCAGCGACGCCGCGUGAGUGAAGAAGUAUUUCGGUAUGUAAAGCUCUGUCAGCAGGGAAGAAAGAAAUGACGGUACCUGACCAAGAAGCCCCGGCUAACUACGUGCCAGCAGCCGCGGUAAUACGGAGGGGGCAAGCGUUAUGCGGAAUUACUGGGUGUAAAGGGAGCGUAGACGGGUAAGUAAGUCUGGAGUGAAAGGCCGGGGCCCAACCCCGGGACUGCUCUGGAAACUAUUGAACUUGAGUGCAGGGGAGGUAAGCGGAAUUCCUAGUGUAGCGGUGAAAUGCGUAGAUAUUAGGAGGAACACCAGUGGCGAAGGCGGCUUACUGGACUGUAACUGACGUUGAGGCUCGAAAGCGUGGGGAGCAAACAGGAUUAGAUACCCGAGUAGUC
rnacentral:rRNA from 1 species